ensembl:lncRNA
CCACUAUGUUACUGUUCCCACCAGGUUACUGUUCCCACUAUGUUACUGUUCCCACCAGGUUACUGUUCCCACUAUGUUACUGUUCCCACCAGGUUACUGUUCCCACUAUGUUACUGUUCCCACCAGGUUACUGUUCCCACUAUGUUACUGUUCUCACCAGGUUACUGUUCCUACUAUGUUACUGUUCCCACUAUGUUACUGUUCUCACCAGAUUACUGUUCCCACUAUGUUACUGUUCCCACCAGGUUACUGUUCCCACUAUGUUACUGUUCUCACCAGAUUACUGUUCCCACUAUAUUACUGUUCCCACCAGGUUACUGUUCCCACUAUGUUACUGUUCCCACCAGGUUACUGUUCCCACCAGGUUACUGUUCCCACCAGGUUACUGUUCCCACUAUGUUACUGUUCCCACUAUGUUACUGUUCCCACUAUGUUACUGUUCCCACUAUGUUACUGUUCCCACUAUGUUACUGUUCCCACUAUGUUACUGUUCCCACUAUGUUACUGUUCCCACUAUGUUACUGUUCCCACCAGGUUACUGUUCCCACCAGGUUACUGUUCCCACUAUGUUACUGUUCCCACUAU